GACGAACGCUGGCGGCGUGCUUAACACAUGCAAGUCGAACGGAAAGGCCCUGCUUUUGUGGGGUGCUCGAGUGGCGAACGGGUGAGUAACACGUGAGUAACCUGCCCUUGACUUUGGGAUAACUUCAGGAAACUGGGGCUAAUACCGGAUAGGAGCUCCUGCUGCAUGGUGGGGGUUGGAAAGUUUCGGCGGUUGGGGAUGGACUGGCGGCUUAUCAGCUUGUUGGUGGGGUAGUGGCUUACCAAGGCUUUGACGGGUAGGCGGCCCGAGAGGGUGAACGGGGACCAGGGUACUACGAGACGGCGCAGACUGGUACAGGAGGCAGCAGUCGCGAGCAUUGCACAAUGAGCGCGAGUCGGAUACAGCGGCGUCCGGGUCGUGAAGACGUUCUGCUGGGUGUGAACCGCAGUCGCCUAAUACGAAGCGUUAGUGACGGUAAUGAGUGAAUAAGCACCGGCUAACUACGUG
rnacentral:rRNA from 1 species